rnacentral:tRNA from 1 species
UGUGGAGAUAGCUCAGUUGGUAGAGUGCUUGUCUUGAUGCACAAGAUUCUGGGUUCAAUCCCCAGCACCACAG